rnacentral:rRNA from 1 species
UGGGGAAUAUUGCACAAUGGGCGCAAGCCUGAUGCAGCCAUGCCGCGUGUAUGAAGAAGGCCUUCGGGUUGUAAAGUACUUUCAGUCGGGAGGAAGGUGGUAAGGUUAAUAACCUUGGCAAUUGACGUUACCGACAGAAGAAGCACCGGCUAACUCCGUGCCAGCAGCCGCGGUAAUACGGAGGGUGCAAGCGUUAAUCGGAAUUACUGGGCGUAAAGCGCACGCAGGCGGUCUGUCAAGUCGGAUGUGAAAUCCCCGGGCUCAACCUGGGAAAUGCAUUCGAAACUGGCAGGCUAGAGACUUGUAGAGGGGGGUAGAAUUCCAGGUGUAGCGGUGAAAUGCGUAGAGAUCUGGAGGAAUACCGGUGGCGAAGGCGGCCCCCUGGACAAAGACUGACGCUCAGGUGCGAAAGCGUGGGGAGCAAACAGG